rnacentral:lncRNA from 1 species
ACCAGGCCUAGCCUUCCCCUCCCUGCCAUUCUGGGUUGUGCCACCAUCCCAAAAUCUGGGCUCUCCUUCCAGCCCAGGUCUCUCCAACCUCAACACGUGUCUUUGGAACAGCAUGCACUAGAGCCCCAGAGCCCUCCCUGCCAGAAAUGCCCACUUGCCCCAAAUCUCACUCCCUGGGUCCUCUGUUCUAUCCCCUAAGACAUCCCACUCAGUGGAUCAGUUCUCCCCCUUCUGUCUCUCCCUUCCUCCAAGUUUACUCCCCCUGCCUCUGGUAGGUCAUAAAGAAGGCUAAGCCUGGGAAGAUCUGGAAGUUUCUUAGACGUAAAUUUGGUCCGGGAAGCAUCAACAAAGGCCUUCAAGCACUGCAUCCACCAAGGGUGUCUGUGUGUUCCCGCCCUGGCUCUCACCUCUGCGGUUUGCGGAGCACAGCAGUGGCAGCCUCCCCAUGCCACCAGCCUCGUUCUCGACUCCCUUUAUCCCCGAGACCCAUGUCCUGGCUCCUGCCUCACCUCCUCUCCUAGCCUGUCUCCCACCCCUGCAUCUCAUUCUCUCAGACCAGGUAUCCUCAAGGCCGCUGGCCCGCCAGGCCUGCAGGGAGUGCCCGUAGGCUACCUACUCUCCCAGGACAAAGGAACCCAGCAAUAUACUUAACCUAGAGUUCCCGAAGCAGGUGCUCAUUGCUGCUCUCUCUCGGGCUAUUUAUCUGUUUCCAAGGGACAUGAAAUAUAGAACGUAUAUAUUAUUUUUUCAUAACUUAUGUGGCUUUUAACUUAUUGCUUCCCUCCCUGUUUCUGCAUGAUAAUUGCUGAGCGAGCUAUCAGGAUCUUAGAGAAGUCAUUCCAGCUGCCUACUUGGCUGAUGACUCGGGCAAGGGGUGAAUAAAACACUGAGAUUCAUCCACGGAUAAA